rnacentral:lncRNA from 1 species
AACAAACUGAGGGACAUUUGAUAAAAUAACUGAAAAAUGCUCUUCCAAAGUGUCAGGAUCACGCAAGACUAAGACUGAGGAGCUGCCACAGAUUGGAGAGCACAAAGGAGACAUGCGGACUGAGCAAUGUGGGACCCCAGACAGGACCCUGGAAGGGAAGAGGGACGUUCGUGGGAAAACGGUGCAGUCGGAAUCAGGAGGAAAACUGAAGCCCAGAGAGGUCCAACUCAUUCCCUCACAUUCGCGCAGGCCUUUGCAAGGUUCAGAAGGCCUUGUGAUGCAUCGAUGACUCCAGCGCAUCCCAGGAGAGCCCUGAGGCGUGGACCGGACCUGGAAGGUUGGCCCAUUAUAAGGAUGAGUGGUCACUUGGUCACUUGCUUCGGGACUCUAGUCCCAUUCUCUUUCCACCACACUCUCCCCAGCGUGAAGAAUUCCGCUUUCAGAAUUCCUUCCAGGGCGGUGUGCUUGCUGUGUCUACUGAAGAUGAAACUGCUCACCUCUCUUUCCUGUUACUAAAAACAAACUAUUUUUCACCACCCACACGCUGCAUCUAGCUAUAUGAAAAUACUCCCUUCCUUGUCUAUAUCCUAUUAUGUUGUAUUACUUUUCCACCAUCUAUUUAUCUUGCAAAAAGACAUCGUAAUUCUAAAGACAGCUUACGCUCUAUUACAGAAAAGAGGCACAAUGUUUAUUAGUCAGAGUGAGUCCGCUGGACUGAAAUUUAUGGUGUGCCCAGAAAGCUCGGGGGCCGGUGCAGGAACCUCAAAGAACAGGAGGAAGGAGCGAUU